CAAAGGAAUUGACGGGGGCCCGCACAAGCGGUGGAGCAUGUGGUUUAAUUCGAUGAUACGCGAGGAACCUUACCUGGGCUCAAAUGUAUGUUGACGUAUUCUGAAAGGGAUACUUCUUCGGACAAUAUACAAGGUGCUGCAUGGUUGUCGUCAGCUCGUGCCGUGAGGUGUCGGGUUAAGUCCCAUAACGAGCGCAACCCCUAUCAUUAGUUGCCAUCAGGUCAAGCUGGGGACUCUAAUGAAACUGCCUACGCAAGUAGUGAGGAAGGCGGGGAUGACGUCAAAUCAGCACGGCCCUUACGUCCAGGGCUACACACGUGCUACAAUGGCCGAUACAGAGGGCAGCUACCUGGUGACAGGAUGCAAAUCUCAAAAGCCGGUCUCAGUUCGGAUCGGAGUCUGCAACCCGACUCCGUGAAGCUGGAAUCGCUAGCAAUCGCGCAUCAGCCAUGGCGCGGUGAAUACGUUCCCGGGCCUU
rnacentral:rRNA from 1 species